GACGAACGCUUUCUUCUUUCCUAAUACAUGCAAGUAGAACGCACAGUUUAUACCGUAGCUUGCUACACCAUAGACGGUGAGUUGCGAACGGGUGAGUAACGCGUAGGUAACCUGCCUGGGAGCGGGGGAUAACUAGUGGAAACGAUAGCUAAUACCGCAUAAUAUUAAUUAUUGCAUGAUAAUUAAUUGAAAGGUGCAAUUGCACCACUACCAGAUGGACCUUCGUUGUAUUAGCUAGUAGGUGAGGUAACGGCUCACCUAGGCGACGAUACAUAGCCGACCUGAGAGGGUGAGAGGCCACACUGGGACUGAGACACGGCCCAGACUCCUACGGGAGGCAGCAGUAGGGAAUCUUCGGCAAUGGACGAAAGUCUGACCGAGCAACGCCGCGUGAGUGAAGAAGGUUUUCGGAUCGUAAAGCUCUGUUGUAAGAGAAGAACGGGUGUGAGAGUGGAAAGUUCACACUGUGACGGUAUCUUACCAGAAAGGGACGGCUAACUACGUG
rnacentral:rRNA from 1 species